UGCUUCUCUGAUGUUAGCGGCGGACGGGUGAGUAACACGUGGAUAACCUACCUAUAAGACUGGGAUAACUUCGGGAAACCGGAGCUAAUACCGGAUAAUAUUUUGAACCGCAUGGUUCAAAAGUGAAAGACGGUCUUGCUGUCACUUAUAGAUGGAUCCGCGCUGCAUUAGCUAGUUGGUAAGGUAACGGCUUACCAAGGCAACGAUGCAUAGCCGACCUGAGAGGGUGAUCGGCCACACUGGAACUGAGACACGGUCCAGACUCCUACGGGAGGCAGCAGUAGGGAAUCUUCCGCAAUGGGCGAAAGCCUGACGGAGCAACGCCGCGUGAGUGAUGAAGGUCUUCGGAUCGUAAAACUCUGUUAUUAGGGAAGAACAUAUGUGUAAGUAACUGUGCACAUCUUGACGGUACCUAAUCAGAAAGCCACGGCUAACUACGUGCCAGCAGCCGCGGUAAUACGUAGGUGGCAAGCGUUAUCCGGAAUUAUUGGGCGUAAAGCGCGCGUAGGCGGUUUUUUAAGUCUGAUGUGAAAGCCCACGGCUCAACCGUGGAGGGUCAUUGGAAACUGGAAAACUUGAGUGCAGAAGAGGAAAGUGGAAUUCCAUGUGUAGCGGUGAAAUGCGCAGAGAUAUGGAGGAACACCAGUGGCGAAGGCGACUUUCUGGUCUGUAACUGACGCUGAUGUGCGAAAGCGUGGGGAUCAAACAGGAUUAGAUACCCUGGUAGUCCACGCCGUAAACGAUGAGUGCUAAGUGUUAGGGGGUUUCCGCCCCUUAGUGCUGCAGCUAACGCAUUAAGCACUCCGCCUGGGGAGUACGACCGCAAGGUUGAAACUCAAAGGAAUUGACGGGGACCCGC
rnacentral:rRNA from 1 species